rnacentral:rRNA from 1 species
AGAGUUUGAUCCUGGCUCAGAGCGAACGCUGGCGGCAGGCCUAACACAUGCAAGUCGAGCGCCCGUAGCAAUACGGGAGCGGCAGACGGGUGAGUAACACGUGGGAACGUGCCCUUUGGUUCGGAAUAACUCAGGGAAACUUGAGCUAAUACCGGAUAAGUCCGUAAGGAGAAAGAUUUAUCGCCGAAGGAGCGGCCCGCGUCCGAUUAGCUAGUUGGUGGGGUAAUGGCCCACCAAGGCUACGAUCGGUAGCUGGUCUGAGAGGAUGACCAGCCACACUGGGACUGAGACACGGCCCAGACUCCUACGGGAGGCAGCAGUGGGGAAUAUUGGACAAUGGGCGCAAGCCUGAUCCAGCCAUGCCGCGUGGGUGAUGAAGGCCCUAGGGUUGUAAAGCCCUUUCGGCGGGGAAGAUAAUGACGGUACCCGCAGAAGAAGCCCCGGCUAACUUCGUGCCAGCCGCCGCGGUAAUAC